GAUGAACGCUGACAGAAUGCUUAACACAUGCAAGUCAACUUGAACUUCGGUUAGGGUGGCGGACGGGUGAGUAACGCGUAAAGAACUGUCCUCACAGCUAGGGACAACAUUUUGAAACGAAUGCUAAUACCUGAUAUUAUGAUUUAAGGGCAUCCUAGGCUUAUGAGAGCUAUAUGCGCUGUGAGAGAGCUUUGCGUCCCAUUAGCUAGUUGGAGAGGUAACGUCUCACCAGGGCGAUGAUGGGUAGCCGGCCUGAGAGGGUGACCGGCCACAAGGGGACUGAGGAACCGCCAUUACGCAUACGGGAGGCAGCAGUGGGAAAUAGUGGAAAAUGGACCGAGAGUCUGAUGAAGCAAUUCUGUGUGUAAGAUGAUGUUUUUCGGAAUGUAAAGUGGUUUGAGUUGGGAAGGAAAAAAUGACGGUACCAAAAGAAGAAGUAACGGCUAAAUACGUG
rnacentral:rRNA from 1 species